CAUCCCAGUACGGCUCCGUCCCAUCCCAGUAUGGCUCCAUUCCAUCCCAGUAUGGCUCCGUCCCAUCCCAUCCCAGCACAGUCCAGUCCCACUCCCACAAAGCUCCUCUCCAUCCCACUCCAUCUCAUCAUGGAGCUCCAUCCCAGCACGGAACCAUCUGAGCACAGAGCUCCAUCCCAUCCCAGUACAGCUACAUCCCAUCAUGAGGGCAGUCCCAGUCAGACACCCACCCCAGCACAGCUCCAUCCCAGCACAGAGCUCCAUCCCACCCCACACAGAGCUCCAGUCCAUCCCAGUUCAUCCCAUCAUGGAGCCCCAUCCCAUCCCAGCCCCAUC